CUAUCAACGGGCAGCAUCACCACCCCUGUCUGAAUAUCUUCUCUGCCUAGUCUUUGUUCACUUUGUUUCUGUCCGAGAACUGCUACAUCGUCUCCACUCUACCAAUUUAACAAUCACACAGUCCUCCCUACGGACCUUCUUGCUUCCUUCUACCGGAUGGUUUAAUUUUUUUUCUUCGGCGAGGUGGAAGAGUAAAUGGAAAGAAAAAGCAAGAGGUGGAUGUGGAUGAGACAGAAAGCUAGCGAAUCAUUUUGGACCGUUCAGCGGGGCUUCCUUUUCCUCAUCAAAUGGCGGUGACUCUUUUUCUCCUCUUACUUCUGAUUCGUCCCACCUUUCACUGCACUUCCCACCGUCAAACAGUUCUAGAUUUUUCGGCGCCGGAUGACGGUCAGCAUGCUCGGCGGCGAUAGAAGCCCCAGUGUGGAGGAAGAGUACACCCAGAGACACCACAGACAUGAGGUCGGAGAGAACCAGUGUAGCUCCUCGCUCGUUAACCACAUCAGAGCUCCUGUUCAUCUCAUGGUGCAGAAUUGAGACACAUAUCCAAAGCAAAAUAGGAACAUGGUGCAAAUCAAAUAGGAAGUGAAAAUUUGAUAAAGAUUGAAUUUAAAACAACAGGUUUCAGUCACAACAUACUUCAGCACAUCUUUGUGGUCUGUUGAGGAUGAAGCGGCACCAACAAUAAACUGCCCAUAAAUCUUCUUCUUUGAUCGUAGUGAUAGAAUAAUUACGGAGCGGACCAAGAGUGAAGAAAUAUGGAGCGGAUCACACCUGGCACCGUGUGGACUACGUACGCGGCCGGACAGACCAUGGAGGGGUCUACCUCCCCGGGGUCCUCGACUACUACCACGGGGUCCUUGGCUACUACCACGGGGUCCUCGGCUACUGUGCACAUGGAGUGACGAACCACCCCGGGGUUGGCCAACGUGGGCUCGGCACCCCGGGGUUGGCCAACAUGGGCUCGGCACCCCGGGUUGGCCUACGUAGGCCCGGCCACCACGGGGUCGGGCGGCGUACCCGGGGUACCCCGGAUUGCGACUCCUCCCGCGUACCCCGGGCCAUUAACACAACCGGGGGUAUAAGAACACUCCCCGGUGUCUUGUUCAGACAUUUUCUACUUUCUUACAACACUUGUCUCGUUAUUACACGUCCCGAACUUCUGUAAUAGCGUUAUACAUCCAAUUAAUAUAAUAUUUCUACCCCUAUUGUCGUUUUAUUAUUAAUUUAUUAUAUUCAAUCAUAUAUUCGGGUUGUAUAAUCCAGACCCCCGGGUUCAUAUAAUCUAUCAUGUAGAAAUAUGAAAUAUGUUUUUUCAGUUUGUAUCUGAAUAGAGGUUGAAGUCUCUAAACAUGUAUCUUCUAUAUAUAUAAGCGUGGAAUUGAGGACUCUGCCAAGAGUGCACCACUCUCAUACCCAGCUUGGUUGAAAUCACACGGCAACUCUGUAAACAAGUAAUAGGCCACUCCCCUACAAAUAAGGCCUGACAACAUAGGUUUCUGACGUCGGAUGGGCAGGAAUAUAGAUUAAUUUGAUUGGCCAAGCAG